UUCCAUCCCAGCAGUGCUACAGAAGGAGGGAAACAAACGCUCACUUUGAAUUAGUAUCACAAAGCUCUUUUCAGACCUAUUUCUAAAUAGCACAAGGACCGCUAAGUCACAAAAAGAUCUUAAAGCCUAGGUGCUAGGCAAAGGCACAUGCCUUUGAGCAGUGCAAAAGAAAUGAAAUUUGUUAUAAAUUUUUUUAAAAAAAAAUUACAUAUCAUAAGACCUCUGAUCUGUAGUCAAUGCUCCUUCUCGACUUAAAAAGCAUGUGUUUCAUGUAUGCUCUAUUAAAAGAAAGAACAAAGAAAGAGGACCAAGAGAGAGAGGAGAGUGGUUAAAUGGGACUGUGGAAGCCUAUUGUCUUCUCCUCCUAUCUUCUCUUCCUUUUUUCUUCCUCUUUUUUGGUGUUAUUUUCAAUUGAAAAUGUUGCAGUACCUAUCUAGUUAGUAUUCAUUUUUGUUUUGUUGCUUUCAAUUUAAUUAGGUGUAUUCGAAUACCCCAUAAACUCGUACCCAACAAAAAAUUGAUAGAUUAAAUAGCAUGAGUUAUAGGAAAAAUAAACUGGGGCAGUCAAAAUAUAAAGAGGCAUGCCUUGUUGCACCUUGCACCUAGAAAAAUAUAUGCCUAGGCAACAAGGCGCACAGCCCAGACACACCUUUAGUAAAUAUACUUUCAGGCAAAACAAGGCGGUUGAAAGACAAAUAUGGUCUAAAUAUAAGUAGAAUGUACUCUUGGAACCAUUCCCAGUUUUGUAUCUCAAUAACAUUUGAGGCCAACAGAAAACCUAUGUGGCCAAGAAAUAAAUGCAAAAUAACUACAUUGUGAACAAAAUUGAAUUAC
rnacentral:misc_RNA from 1 species